rnacentral:rRNA from 1 species
AUUGAACGCUGGCGGCAGGCCUAACACAUGCAAGUCGAACGAGUGGCGGACUGGUGAGUAAUUUCUUGGAAACUGCCUGAUGGAGGGGGAUAACUACUGUAAACGGUAGCUAAUACCGCAUACCGUCGUUUCUGCCCAGAUUGGAUUAGCUAGUAGGUGGGGUAAAGGCUCACCAAGGCGACGAUCCCUAGCUGGGCUGAGAGGAUGACCAGCCACACUGGAACUGAGACACGGUCCAGACUCCUACGGGAGGCAGCAGUGGGGAAUAUUGCACAAUGGGCGAAAGCCUGAUGCAGCCAGGCCGCGUGUAUGAAGAAGGCCUUCGGGUUGUAAAGUACUGUCAGCGGGGAGGCGUUACCCAAAGAAAAAGCAACGGCUAACUACGUGCCAGCAGCCGCGGUAAUAC